rnacentral:rRNA from 1 species
UACGUAGGGCGCGAGCGUUGUCCGGAAUUAUUGGGCGUAAAGAGCUCGUAGGCGGCCUGUUGCGUCCGCUGUGAAAUCCCAGGGCUUAACCCUGGGCGUGCAGUGGAUACGGGCAGGCUGGAGGCAGGCAGGGGAGAACGGAAUUCCCGGUGUAGCGGUGAAAUGCGCAGAUAUCGGGAAGAACACCCGUGGCGAAGGCGGCUCUCUGGGACGGUACUGACGCUGAGACGCGAAAGCGUGGGGAGCGAACAGG